rnacentral:rRNA from 1 species
AUGUGGUACUUGACCACUGCUACUUUGCUCUUUACUACUCCCUCCGUCCGGAAAUACUUGUCAUCAAAAUGGAUAAAAGGGGAUGUAUCUAGACGUAUUUUAGUUCUAGAUACAUCUCUUUUUAUCCAUUUUGAUGACAAGUAUUUUCGAACGGAGGGAGUAUGUGGGAAUGUUCCCAUCACAAUAUUUUUUUUGACUGGUUACUGUAGGGAAAACCCCCACAGCCAUUGCUCUUUAUUCAUUCAAAGUAUACAAUAUGUACAAAGGUUAACAAGAGUAACCCAAAAGAAGGAAAAAACUAAAAAGACCCAUCACGAUAUUUGA